AGCGGGGUGUAGUGGUUUGAGCGAUGGACUUUGACUCUGGAGACCAGGGUUCGAAUCCCUGCUCGGCCA